UUAUAAUUAUUUAAAAUCCCUAUUAUAAAGAAAAUUUUCUUAUUUUUACAUAGAAAUUCUUAUAUAUAUAUAUAUGAAUCAUUUAUAGCACCAAAAAUAUAGUAGAGAUAAAGUGAAUAUUUUUUCCUAAAUUUCUACAUGGUAUCACAACAAAAAUAAAGAUAUAUUUAGGGUUUUAUUUCAAGAUUUUUUCUAAACCCUAGAAUCUUUUCAUCACCCAACAAAGUCUUUCACUUCACCAGCGGCUGACCACCCUAUUCCGGUGACCUACUCCACCCUACCCGAUCCCUCUGCUCCGGCCAAAACUCGUUGUUCGCGCAGCUUCCUCAUGCACAGCCUCUGUUCGCGGUGUCUCUCUUUUUUGGCUGCACCCACUCUUCUCGGUUUUUUGUUCGCGCACAGCCAUCUGGUUCGCGACAUCUUCUGUUUUGCCGACUAAUACUACAAAUCCAGGCAUUUCUUCGAUCAUAUUUCGCGCACCAAAAGCUCAACACAGCCUUCUAAUUUUGCGCACUGCAUUUUGCACGUAAGACAGACUGCUCAGGUCAAGCCACGCGAUCCCUUGCACCAGCAGAUCCUCUUCACGCCGCCACGCACGAUCUGUGUCUUUUUUCAGCUGUAUGACCUCGUCUAGCCGAGCACCAGCGGGUCUGCUCAUAUUUUGGCCAAAAUCCAGUCACGAUUUGGUCUCCUGUGGCAUGUGCCCACCUCUGUCUUAGGCUCCAGACUUGUCUAUCUCAGAUCCGGCUCUGGUUCUCCUGUCUCGCCAGACAAACUUGUCUCUGCUGAUCUCCUCUGGUCUCGCAGCAUUUUUUGGUCUCCAUUGGUAUUGGAAUAUUUUUUAGUAUC
rnacentral:lncRNA from 1 species